rnacentral:tRNA from 1 species
GCGAGUGUGGUGAAAUUGGCAGACGCGCUAGAUUCAGGUUCUAGUGGAGGCGACUCCAUGCAGGUUCAAGUCCUGUCACUCGCACCA